rnacentral:rRNA from 1 species
UCAUGCUGAAAAGAGCGUAUGGUGGAUGCCUUGGCACUAAGAGCCGAUGAAAGACGUGAUAAGCUGCGAAAAGCUUCGGGGAGGAGCAAAUAUCCAAUGAUCCGGAGAUCUCUGAAUGGGGAAACCCACUUGAGCAAACCUCAAGUAUCCUAACGCCAAUCCAUAACGUUAGGAAGGGAACCCGGUGAACUGAAACAUCUAAGUAGCCGGAGGAAGAGAAAACAACAUGUGAUUCCGGAAGUAGCGGCGAGCGAAACCGGAAGAGCCCAAACCGGGAUGCGUGCAUCCCGGGGUUCGGACCGCAGAAUUGAUUCAAGAGUCUUAGCAGAAUGGUUUUGGGAAAGCCAGCCAGAGAGGGUGAAAGCCCCGUAAGCGAAAGGACGAUUGACAAGGCGGUAUCCAGAGUAGGUCGAGACACGUGGAACCUUGACUGAACACGCGGGGACCACCCCGUAAGGCUAAAUACUCCUUAGUGACCGAUAGCGCAUAGUACUGUGAAGGAACGGUGAAAAGGACCCCGGGAGGGGAGUGAAAAAGAACCUGAAACCAUAUGUUUACAAGCUGUGGAACCACUAUAAAUGUGGAACCGCGUACUUUUUGUAGAACGGUCCGGCGAGUUGCGCCGGCUGGCGAGGUUAAAUCCUACAGGGAUGGAGCCGAAGGGAAACCAAGUCUUAAUAGGGCCAGAGUCAGUCGGAGCAGACCCGAAACCGGGUGAUCUAUCCAUGUCCAGGUUGAAGUUGCCGUAAAAGGCAAUGGAGGACCGAACCCACAUCCGUUGAAAAGGGUGGGGAUGAGGUGUGGAUAGGGGAGAAAUUCCAAUCGAACCCGGAGAUAGCUGGUUCUCCUCGAAAUAGCUUUAGGGCUAGCCUCAUACAAGUCUUGCGGAGGUAGAGCACUGAAUUUCCUAGGGGGCGUCAAAGCUUACCGAAGAAUAUCAAACUCCGAAUGCCGCGUAGAUGAUGUAUGGGAGUCAGACUGCACGAGAUAAGUUGGGUAGUCGAAAGGGAAAGAGCCCAGACCUGCAGCUAAGGUCCCAAAAUGUGUGUUAAGUGGAAAAGGAUGUGGGAUUUCGAAGACAACUAGGAUGUUGGCUCAGAAGCAGCCAUACAUUCAAAGAGUGCGUAAUAGCUCACUAGUCGAGAGGUCCUGCGCCGAAAAUGUCCGGGGCUGAAACACACUACCGAAGCUCAGGAAUCAACGAAUGUUGAUUGGUAGAGGAGCAUUGGAUACGAGACGAAGCAGUACCGAUAAGGAGCUGUGGAUUGUAUCGAAGAGAGAAUGCCGGAAUGAGUAGCGAGAGGAAGGUGAGAAUCCUUCCGGCCGAAUAUCUAAGGUUUCCAGAGUAAAGCUGAUCUGCUCUGGGUAAGUCGGGGCCUAAGGCGAGGCCGAGAGGCGUAGUCGAUGGACAACAGGUUGAGAUUCCUGUACCUUAAGUAAACAGAACUGUGGGGACACGUGAGGAGAGCACAAGCCGGGAAUGGAAAGACCGGUGCAAGCGAGGUAGGAGUGCAGCUGGCAAAUCCGCUGUACAAUCUGAAGACGUGAUGCGGACCGAAUAAAGAGUAGGGAAGUGUGUGAGCCAUGCGUCAAGAAAAGCCGCUAUUGUUUUACUUAAGCCCGUACCGUAAACCGACACAGGUGGAUGAGGAGAGAAUCCUAAGGCCGACGGGAGAAGCAUUGUUAAGGAACUCGGCAAAAUGACUCCGUAACUUCGGGAGAAGGAGUGCCAGUGAAAGCUGGCCGCAGAGAAUUGGCCCAAGCAACUGUUUAGCAAAAACACAGGUCUAUGCAAAACCGAAAGGUGAAGUAUAUGGGCUGACGCCUGCCCGGUGCUGGAAGGUUAAGGGGAGAGGUUAGCGGUAACGCGAAGCUUUGAACUUAAGCCCCAGUAAACGGCGGCCGUAACUAUAACGGUCCUAAGGUAGCGAAAUUCCUUGUCGGGUAAGUUCCGACCCGCACGAAAGGCGUAAUGAUUUGGGCACUGUCUCAACAAUGCACCCGGUGAAAUUGAAAUACCAGUGAAGAUGCUGGUUACCUGCGCCAGGACGGAAAGACCCCAUGGAGCUUUACUCCAGCUUGAUACUGGGAUUCGAUAUUGCAUGUACAGGAUAGGUGGGAGACUUUGAAC